GCAAAGACGAUGAACGGGAGAGUAACUGACCUCUUUUUUUCAGGGAGAAGAUACCGUGACUGAAAGUAUCUUUAAAAAAUGUCAGCGAAAAAACACCCGGAAGUCGAAUACUGAACAUUAUUUUAGUAGGUUUUUCCGGUUGACUACCGUUAAAAAGUCUGAGGGGGACAAUUAAUGCAAAUUGUCCAACCAGGGUGGUACCGCGGGGUUUUUAACUCUCGUCCCUGUC
rnacentral:ncRNA from 1 species